CAGCCGCCGCGGGAAUACGAAGGGGGCUAGCGUUGUUCGGAAUUACUGGGCGUAAAGGGCGCGUAGGCGGCCAUUCAAGUUAGAUGUGAAAGCCCUGGGCUCAACCUAGGAAUUGCAUUUGAUACUGUUUGGCUUGAGUUCGGGAGAGGUGAGUGGAAUUCCCAGUGUAGAGGUGAAAUUCGUAGAUAUUGGGAAGAACACCAGUGGCGAAGGCGGCUCACUGGACCGACACUGACGCUGAGGCGCGAAAGCGUGGGGAGCAAACAGGAUUAGAUACCCGUGUAGUCCCUGUCUCUUAUAC
rnacentral:rRNA from 1 species